UCUGCAUCCUGGCGACCUACACAAUGGGCAAGUGUCCUAUUUGCCCAGCCCGCAGGAGGCAGAGCACGUAACUGCAUCCGUAAAUACAUAGGGCAGUACACAGUCACAAUCACAGCCGCACAAACACUCGUACCUGGCCCAUGACAGCUGCAAGAACUAAAGCCCCGAGACGGAAUUGAGUUAGAAGAGCCAAAGAGCUUAAAAUCAAAAGUCAGACCGGCCUAUGUAAAUAAAUGCAGUAUGCAGUAUGCAGGCGGAGACGGGACAGAGGCCGAGGACGAGGCAGCCGGAAAUGGGGAAAGGCAUUCAGUCACGGAGUGAAAGCAGAACGAGGAACAAACAGAAAACAAAAGGAGCCUAGAAGAGCACAGGACCCGGAGGAGCGAAGGCAAGACAUUUAUUUGGCCAACACCAGGACCCAGGAAGUAGGCACAGACCUCGUCGAACAAAGCUGGAUGGCGCCUUAGUUUCGACAGACCCGAUUCUGAUUAAGCGCAUAGGUCGUCGUCUGACUCGCAGUCCGAACCCAAGCCCAUCCGUAUCCAUCUGUCGGUCUGUCACUUCGUCCGGCCAUCGACUGUCGCAACCGC
ensembl:ncRNA lncRNA:CR45381 long non-coding RNA:CR45381